AGAAGAUGGUCAGUCCAGAAGCAGGGGAAGGAAAUUUCUCACCACUCAACCUCCACAGUGGCCAAGAAGACUGAGAAAACACCAGGCGCCAUUCCAUUCCUGUUACUCCCAGCGCUACUUAGGAGGCAGCCUAAGCAGCUAUCAUUUCUGCCAGCUGCUUCCAAAUGAACCCAAGGCUGGGAGGAGACAGCCUUGGUUUCCCUACCUGUCAGAAGAGUUCACAGUGUCAUCCUGGCCUACUUCCCUAGGCAGAACUAUCAAAGCUACUACAGCUGAGCCCAAAGCAUCAGACUCAGGGCCUGGAGAGGGCCCGGGAAGGAGUCAGUCCAAGCUCCUCAAUGUGCAGAUGAGAAACUGAGGCUCAGAGACAGACAGUAUGAGUAGCAGUAAGGAGAGGCUGGAGCCCCAUCCAAGUUGGCCUUUUGCCUCCCAACUUCAAAAGCCGCCUUAGCACCAAAAAAUUAAAACAGACAGGAGCAGGGAGGCAUGUUCCAGAAGAGGAAACAGGCUUAACUGAGGCUCCUUCAUGCAAAAGAGUGCCGAGCUUGAAGGCUACACAGAGCUUCCUCUCUCUGUUAUUUUCUGGACUAUUUGCUUCUUGCUUUGUCUUUUUAAAAAAUGGCCCAAAGAGUCAGGGGCAAGAAUUGAGUGUGCCCCUGAGCGGGUGGCUGGGUUUUGAGUUGGGGUGAUGGGCUCCAGGCACACUGCCCAGACUCCGAGGGCCAUCCUGGGGUCCACCUGGUGGCUGCAGCCAGCUGCCUGCCUAGAUCGCACUGCGGUGAGGCAGCGGGUCCCAAAAUACCUUUGCGCCGGGAGAUAGGCCCGAAGGCGAAAGGUGGGCGGGGCGAGGGGAGGAGUGCGGCCCCGCUCCGCCUCACGCAAAGGCGGCCACGUGAGCGCCCAGCCCCGCCUAACCGUCCGGACUCGGAUCCCGACCUCCACCUCGGAGCUGGGUCUAGCCUCCAACCCCAUGAGGUCACGGAGCCUCUUGCCCACCCUGAGCCGGCCAGUGGGCCAGGCCCUCACCGUCUUCGAUCUGACCUUGAGCCUUCUCCUCCACACGUGCCUCCCCGCCUCCACUGCGCCAAAGUUCGGAGGGAUACCGGCAGCGACCAAUCCGACGCCUCUUUAUAGACAGGGAAACUGAGGCCCAGAGCCCAGGAGCGAGAGGCAAGGUCACUCAGAGAGCCAGGCACAGCGCCGGAACGAGGUCCAGGGCUUUCCCGGGGUCGCCCCUCACGCCCAGUUCAGCGCGGUGCAAUCCAGCGGUCUCACCUCUAGCACCACGCGGCCGAGCGGCUCCCCGUCGGCGCCCACGUCCAGGACCUUGGACUGAGAAGCAGCCUCCUUUACUCAUGUUACUCCUUCUACCCUGUUUGGAAAAUCAAGCAUCAUCACUACCUUCCUGCCUAAGCCAGAGAAAAGUUCCACUUCCCUUACAGAUUCAGCUGUGAAGUCAUCUCUACCUGUACUGUCAUCAGUGGCAUCAGGAAUAGGGACAGUUUCUAGGCUGAGCUAUGAACUGAAAUAUGUCCAGCCCUUGAAGACUUCUGGCCCAGGUGAGACCAGGCAGGUGUCAGCACUCAUCUGGCUCUGAGACUAUUUAUAGAAGCUGUGUCAUCCUCAGGAACAACAGUUACUGUAUCACUCAUCCCAAGAGGCUUCUUAUUCACAGUGUUAAUAGUUUUCAUCACCUGGGGAUCCUGUAACACCAGUCUUUAGACCUCACAUGGCCAAAGAACAGUCAGGUCAUGCUGGGCUCAGAGAUGGCAUUCAGGAAUUGCAAACUCAGAUGCCUCUGGGGGUCUGCAGGUGACAUACCUAAAUGGAGCAUUCUGGGUAUGGCUCUGGUGAGUAAGGGAAGUGCCACUGUGUCCAGGCACCCCAACUAAAGGAUCAGCUACUGCCCAGACCAGCCAAUUACUGUAUGUGAGACUAUGGGUCUACUAUAGCCAAGUCUCCUAAUUUUUCAAUAAAAGCUAAAAACUUUA